GACGAACCGUGCGAACGUUGUUCGGAAUCACUGGGCUUAAAGGGCGCGUAGGCGGGCUUGCAAGUCUGCGGUGAAAGCCUCCAGCUCAACUGGAGAAGUGCCGUGGAUACUGCGGGCCUCGAGGAGGGUAGGGGCAUCUGGAACGCUGGGUGGAGCGGUGAAAUGCGUUGAUAUCCAACGGAACUCCGGUGGCGAAGGCGAGGUGCUGGACCCUUUCUGACGCUGAGGCGCGAAAGCCAGGGGAGCGAACGGG
rnacentral:rRNA from 1 species